rnacentral:misc_RNA from 1 species
ANUUUNUUAAAACUUUCAACAACGGAUCUCUUGGUUCUCGCAUCGAUGAAGAACGCAGCGAAAUGCGAUAAGUAAUACGAAUUGCAGCCUUCGUGAGUCAUUGAAUCUUUGAACGCACAUUGCGCCUGUAAAGGCACGCCUGUGUGAGCAUGAAAAUCCUCUUUGGCAAUGGGCUCUAGCCUAAAUUUUGUCAGACUGUGCAAUAAACCUCACUAGUCUUUAUUUUUUCUCACAUCAGG